GUAUUCCUACGGGACGCAGCAGUCGAGAAUCAUUCACAAUGGGGGAAACCCUGAUGGUGCGACGCCGCGUGCGGGACGAAGGCCCUCGGGUUGUAAACCGCUUUCAGCAGGGAAGACCCAAGACGGUACCUGCAGAAGAAGCUCCGGCUAACUACGUGCCAGCAGCCGCGGUAAUACGUAGGGGGCGAGCGUUAUCCGGAUUCAUUGGGCGUAAAGCGCGCGUAGGCGGCCGCCUAAGCGGGACCUCUAACCCCGGGGCUCAACCCCGGGCCGGGUCCCGGACUGGGCGGCUCGAGUGCGGUAGG
rnacentral:rRNA from 1 species